UUUCCCUUUACAAUUUAAAGAUUUAGCCCUAAAUAACCGAUUAGAAAUAGAGGCUCCACAUUUAUCUACUUAUAUUCACGAACAUGCCACUCAUCGUGUUUCCAAUCAUCCUCGUUCAUUGCUAAUUGGUGUUCCCUUCUCUUGGUCGUCACCAUCGCUAUCGCCAUCGCCAGUCGACUACUGUCGCCAUCGGAGACACUCACGAGUCACGCCUACCGCCGCCUCUUAUCUCCAUCCUUUUCCUUUACCUUGCUCAUCUAUGUUUCCUUCUUACCAGCAUUUCCUUGCUCAUCAUCGUCGUCGUCCGCCUACUGGCGCUAUCACAGACCCUCACGCCUCUUGACUCCUCUUCCCGUUGUUCUUUUCCUUGACCGUGUGCAGGAGUUGAUUUUGCUGAAAUAUGAUACGUGUGAAAGCUUUAAGGUGUCAACUGGUGCUAAUGCAGUUGAGUACAUUAUCAACCAUCGAGAAAUUUCCAAUUUUUAUUAGUUUUUGUUCAAGAGAGCAAGUUACCUGUUGUAUGUGUCCUUCAAAUCUUCUUCUUGAAGCUAUUGUGAGCCUUAGGAAGGUCGUUGGGUCACAAAAGAAGGAAGUCAUGGAACAAGGUUUUCAUUGCUUCUCCUAGGAAGAAUUUACUGAAAUGGUAACUAUUUCUGGUCAAAUCAGAAACUAGCAGCAAUCACUCAUUUAAUGAUCAUGUUCUUAUCUUGUUCAUGUAGCAAUAGUGAUGUAAGCCAUGGGAGGUGAGCAAAUAUGUGCACUUAAGGAUAUUGGUCCCAAGUAAGUGCUCUAAUAUCCGAGCAGUUAUAUUAUUCUUUUUUAUCAAAAUAAUUUCAAAAAAUAUAAACAUAUAACUAGAUAAAUCAUUAUAGAAUGAUAUAGUUGUUGUUCAAACCCAAGAAAUCACAUUGUUAGAGUUAUCCUCUUAUCUCUUAUAAUUACAAUGCUCUGGUUGAUAUUUUUUCUGAUUCUCAUGUAGUCUCCGUCUACGCAAUUAAAUGCAAGUAAUGACAACCUGCUUUUGUUGACUCAUUUAAUAUAGCAACCUACUUCAAUUUCCUUUUCCAUGUCUAAAUUCUUCAUAGCAUCUGUGGAUUUUGUUGGCAAAUUGAUGAUAAAUUGACUUCUAUUUGUAGUUCCUUGUUAUAAGCUUCAAUGUAAUUAACAUAGUUUUGCAAAAUAGCAUAAGAUGUAAUUCAAUUUUUGAAGAUUAAGACUAUUCCAUUACACAUCUUGAUUCAGGGAAACACAUUUAUCAAAAAAAAAGAAUGAUGAUGUCUUUCAAUAGUUUAUUUGCUGCUACAUGAUCAACUGCGAGUAAUUUUAGUUCAAGAUAUCAAAAUGCGAAAGACUAAAAAGAGAAAAGAGACCACUUACGCAACGGCACAUCAAUUAAAGCAAACAUGGAGCAAUGGUGUUAAUAAAAAAAAUGUAUAACUUAUCUUUCUUGGUUACAACUUUGCAUGUACUUCUAUUUUUUAUAACCCUGGAUAUGUUUUGAUGUA